CUACGUGCCAGCAGCCGCGGUAAUACGUAUGUCGCAAGCGUUAUCCGGAAUUAUUGGGCAUAAAGGGCAUCUAGGCGGCCAGAUAAGUCUGGGGUGAAAACUUGCGGCUCAACCGCAAGCCUGCCCUGGAAACUAUGUGGCUAGAGUACUGGAGAGGUGGACGGAACUGCACGAGUAGAGGUGAAAUUCGUAGAUAUGUGCAGGAAUGCCGAUGAUGAAGAUAGUUCACUGGACGGUAACUGACGCUGAAGUGCGAAAGCUAGGGGAGCAAACAGGAUUAGAUACCCUGGUAGUCCUAGCUGUAAACGAUGAUUACUGGGUGUGGGCAUGAAGAGUGUCCGUGCCGAAGUUAAUGCGAUAAGUAAUCCGCCUGGGGAGUACGGCCGCAAGGCUGAAACUCAAAGGAAUUGACGGGGACCCGCACAAGCGGUGGAGCAUGUGGUUUAAUUCGACGCAACGCGAGGAACCUUACCAGAUCUUGACAUCCUG
rnacentral:rRNA from 1 species